rnacentral:lncRNA from 10 species
UGUACAUGAGGUCUAUAGGAAAAAGAAGAAAAGCAACAGACUAAGUGAGAUACUAAGGUCAGAGAAGCUUCUCACAAACAAAUGGACACCCACAUUGAGCCUUGUAAUCCACGAACAGACAAGACGGAAAGGGCAUCUCAGACAGAAGGAACAGCACAUACCCUCCCAAGAAGGCAUGAAGGAUCAACCUUUUAGGGAAGUCAAAAAUUAUAUAUGAUGAAAGGCAUGUGGAAGAAGUGAAGGAUAGCUGCUCAGAGUCCAUUAUGGUGACACCAUGGAGAAAAU